rnacentral:rRNA from 1 species
AGCCCGCUCAGAACUUAAAGGACUUCGACGGGGGCCCGCACAAGCGGUGGAGCAUGUGGUUUAAUUCGAUGAUACGCGAGGAACCUUACCUGGGCUCAAAUGUAUGUUGACGUAUUCUGAAAGGGAUACUUCUUCGGACAAUAUACAAGGUGCUGCAUGGUUGUCGUCAGCUCGUGCCGUGAGGUGUCGGGUUAAGUCCCAUAACGAGCGCAACCCCUAUCAUUAGUUGCCAUCAGGUCAAGCUGGGGACUCUAAUGAAACUGCCUACGCAAGUAGUGAGGAAGGUGGGGAUGACGUCAAAUCAGCACGGCCCUUACGUCCAGGGCUACACACGUGCUACAAUGGCCGGUACAAAGGGCAGCUACCUGGUGACAGGAUGCUAAUCUCAAAAGCCGGUCUCAGUUCGGAUCGGAGUCUGCAACCCGACUCCGUGAAGCUGGAAUCGCUAGUAACCGCAGAUCAGCUACGUUGCGGUGAAUACGUUCCCGGGCCUU